GGUUUCGUGGUCUAGGGGUUAUGACACCGGAUUUUGAUUCCGGUUGCCUGGGUUCGAAUCCCAGCGAGACCU
rnacentral:tRNA from 15 species